CGCACCCUUGCAAACGGAAAGGCUGGAGAGAUUGCUAACACAUUGAAAAGUUCAUGACAUAUUUGUUAUGAUCGAGGAUUGCUAAAGCAGAUUUUUUACAAAGAACCGUGAUAUUCAACCAAAGAACUUUAUGGAACGUGACUGCACCCUUAGUAUUUCCCCUGUGCUAAUUCUUUCACAGCCUCGGCCAGUUGCUUCUCUUUCUGAAUGCUCUGAACCCACUUUGCAUUAAUGUUGACACGCUCAAUGCUCUGCUUCAAGGUUCUAGCAAUUGAAGGCUUAAUGCGGCUUGCGAAGAACUCCUCUACUUCCUUAGCCUUCUCAAAUGAAGCAAACGGUGAGACAAACUGAUAAAGCGAGUUAAUAAAAAUCCAGAACCGUAGGUUUUUGAAAUGUGAUCCCACUUAUCCUU
rnacentral:misc_RNA from 1 species